rnacentral:tRNA from 1 species
UCCUUGGUGGCCCAGUGGUUAGGGCUUUGUGCUUCCACUGCAGGGGGGACAGGUUUGAUCCCUGCUCAGGGAA